rnacentral:rRNA from 1 species
UGGCGAACGGGUGAGUAACACGUGAGUAACCUGCCCCCGACUCUGGGAUAAGCCCGGGAAACUGGGUCUAAUACCGGAUAUGACCUCGCACCGCAUGGUGCGGGGUGGAAAGAUUUAUCGGUGGGGGAUGGACUCGCGGCCUAUCAGCUUGUUGGUGAGGUAAUGGCUCACCAAGGCGACGACGGGUAGCCGGCCUGAGAGGGUGACCGGCCACACUGGGACUGAGACACGGCCCAGACUCCUACGGGAGGCAGCAGUGGGGAAUAUUGCACAAUGGGCGCAAGCCUGAUGCAGCGACGCCGCGUGAGGGAUGACGGCCUUCGGGUUGUAAACCUCUUUCAGUAGGGAAGAAGCGAAAGUGACGGUACCUGCAGAAGAAGCGCCGGCUAACUACGUGCCAGCAGCCGCGGUAAUACGUAGGGCGCAAGCGUUAUCCGGAUUUAUUGGGCGUAAAGAGCUCGUAGGCGGUUUGUCGCGUCUGCCGUGAAAGUCCGAGGCUCAACCUCGGAUCUGCGGUGGGUACGGGCAGACUAGAGUGAUGUAGGGGAGACUGGAAUUCCUGGUGUAGCGGGUGAAAUGCGCAGAUAUCAGGGAGGAACAACCGAUGGCCGAAGGCAGGGUCUCCUGGGCAUUUACUGACGGCUGAGGGAGCGAAAGCAUGGGGAGCGAACAGGAUUAGAUACCCUGGGUAGUCCAUGCCCGUAAACGUUGGGCACUAGUGUGGGGGACAUUCCCACGUUUUCCCGCGCCGUAGCUAACGCAUUAAGUGCCCCGCCUGGGGAGUACCGGCCGCAAGGCUAAACUCAAGGAAUUGACGGGCCCGCACAGCGG